GACGAACGCUGGCGGCGUGCCUAAUACAUGCAAGUAGAACGCACAGUUUAUACCGUAGCUUGCUACACCAUAAACUGUGAGUUGCGAACGGGUGAGUAACGCGUAGGUAACCUGCCUGGUAGCGGGGGAUAACUAUUGGAAACGAUAGCUAAUACCGCAUAAUAUUAAUUAUUGCAUGAUAAUUGAUUGAAAGAUGCAAUUGCAUCACUACCAGAUGGACCUGCGUUGUAUUAGCUAGUAGGUGAGGUAACGGCUCACCUAGGCGACGAUACAUAGCCGACCUGAGAGGGUGAUCGGCCACACUGGGACUGAGACACGGCCCAGACUCCUACGGGAGGCAGCAGUAGGGAAUCUUCGGCAAUGGACGAAAGUCUGACCGAGCAACGCCGCGUGAGUGAAGAAGGUUUUCGGAUCGUAAAGCUCGGUUGUAAGAGAAGAACGGGUGUGAGAGUGGAAAGUUCACACUGUGACGGUAUCUUACCAGAAAGGGACGGCUAACUACGUG
rnacentral:rRNA from 1 species